rnacentral:rRNA from 1 species
CGGUGUUCAACUGGCGUGUCCGCGGGACGUCCUGCCGGUGGGCUUAGCCCGCAAGGGCGGCCCAACUUCAAAUCCCAUCGCGGUGCUCUUCACUGAGUGUCGAGGUGGGCCGGCACGUUUACUUUGAACAAAUUAGAGUGCUUAAAGCAGGCUAAAACUUCGCCUGAAUACUGUGUGCAUGGAAUAAUGGAAUAGGACCUCGGUUCUAUUUUGUUGGUUUUCGGAACCCCGAGGUAAUGAUUAAUAGGAACGGAUGGGGGCAUUCGUAUUGCGACGUUAGAGGUGAAAUUCUUGGAUCGUCGCAAGACGGACAGAAGCGAAAGCAUUUGCCAAAAACGCUUUCAUUGAUCAAGAACGAAAGUUAGAGGUUCGAAGGCGAUCAGAUACCGCCCUAGUUCUAACCAUAAACGAUGCCAGCUAGCGAUCCGUCGACGUUCCUCCGAUGACUCGACGGGCAGCUUCCGGGAAACCAAAGCUUUUGGGUUCCGGGGGAAGUAUGGUUGCAAAGCUGAAACUUAAAGGAAUUGACGGAAGGGCACCACCAGGAGUGGAGCCUGCGGCUUAAUUUGACUCAACACGGGAAACCUCACCAGGCCCGGACACCGGAAGGAUUGACAGAUUGAGAGCUCUUUCUUGAUUCGGUGGGUGGUGGUGCAUGGCCGUUCUUAGUUGGUGGAGCGAUUUGUCUGGUUAAUUCCGAUAACGAACGAGACUCUAGCCUGCUAACUAGGCGUAUUUUCGACAUCUCAAAGGUCCGUCGUCCCGGCCCUCGGGUCGUGGGCGUGCGCGAUUUUUACUGUCGGCGUACUAUCAAUUCUUCUUAGAGGGACAGGUGGCUUCUAGCCGCACGAGAUUGAGCAAUAACCAGGUCUGUGAUG